CAAGAAAUACGAGGAAAAAAACAAGAAUAAGAACCUAAAAUAAAAUAAACCAAAAUAUUACUCUUUCCGUGCUGAGUUGACAACUUCUGCAUUAAUUGCCAAAUCCUCUCCUCUUUGAAAUAAAACCAACAAAAGCAACAAUUUUGGCACCGAAUAUACUUUUCAUAAUUCAUCCCAACAAUGCUCAUUAGGUGCGUGAGAAAAAAAAAGAGAAGAGAUCUUUAGAUGAAUUUUGCUUGCGUGACAAGAAAUUAAGACGUAAAAUUAAAGAGGUUGAAUUUUUCAUUAGAAUUGUUACGCCAAAUGAUACUCAACUUUGUGACUAAUUUAUUGCGAUGAUGAAACUGCGCGUAUUUCGCAACAGCAAAGACAACAAAAAUCGCGCACAUCUUUUUCAAAAAGGUCGGUCUAUCAAAUGUACAAUCUUCCAUGGAACAUUUGGGAGGAAAAGAAGGAAAACUUGAAAGGAACGAAAAAAGCUUCUUCAGCAGAAAAGUAGUCAAAGAAAGAAUUCUUCGCGAAUCGAUUCAUUCUGUGCCAGAUUUGGUGGUAUAUUGCAAUGAGGAAACUUUGCACGCCAUGGGGAAGAAUGGGAGGAAUUUUAGAAAAGAAUUUGUCAAGGAAGAAGGGAGUUUUGUGACUUAAUGUGCUCCCUUUUCAGGUGGCUACGGUGGUGGUUAUGGAUUUGGUGGGGGUUUUCUUGGCGCCGGUGCAGGAAACCCCUAUGACACGUACAGAGGUCCAUACGGGCCACCCCAGAUGAUGGAUUAUUCGGGCUUUGGAACAGGAUUUAGCGGCGGCGGUCUGGGUGCUGACUAUGGUGGGCACACAGGAUAUGGAUUCUUUCCUGAACCACCUUCCCAUCAGUACAGCGCUAAGUCCCUCUUCCUCCCCCUGGCCGGGGCGGCACUUUUGGGGGUGGCGGCGGCACUAGUGGCCAAUCCUGUUCUCCUGCAACUCGGUGUGAUUUCCGGCAAACGACGGAAACGUAGCAUCACAGACGACGACCAUGCACAUAAAUUGGCUUACAGAGAGCAAAUAAGGAGGUAAUCCUCGUGCAGGACAACACACCCAACGGUCUUGCUAAAUUGCAUGAAAUUCUCCUGCUGCUUGAGAACUUUGUUCAGGAUCAUUGCAAUUUUUUUAUGUGUAAGAAUUUUCUAUAUAUGGCAAAUACAUUAUAAUUUAUAGUGAGAA